GAUGAACGCUGGCGGCGUGCCUAAUACAUGCAAGUAGAACGCUGAAGGAAGGAGCUUGCUCUUUCCGGAUGAGUUGCGAACGGGUGAGUAACGCGUAGGUAACCUGCCUGGUAGCGGGGGAUAACUAUUGGAAACGAUAGCUAAUACCGCAUAACAGUAGAUGUUGCAUGAUAUCUACUUAAAAGGUGCAAUUGCACCACUACCAGAUGGACCUGCGUUGUAUUAGCUAGUUGGUGAGGUAACGGCUCACCAAGGCGACGAUACAUAGCCGACCUGAGAGGGUGAUCGGCCACACUGGGACUGAGACACGGCCCAGACUCCUACGGGAGGCAGCAGUAGGGAAUCUUCGGCAAUGGACGGAAGUCUGACCGAGCAACGCCGCGUGAGUGAAGAAGGUUUUCGGAUCGUAAAGCUCUGUUGUAAGAGAAGAACGAGUGUGAGAGUGGAAAGUUCACACUGAGACGGUAUCUUACCAGAAAGGGACGGCUAACUACGUG
rnacentral:rRNA from 1 species